rnacentral:piRNA from 1 species
UAAUGUCCUGGGUGCAUUGUAGC